rfam:Gossypium raimondii Chr11_contig_1137, whole genome shotgun sequence.
UACUUAACUUAGCGGUUAGAGUAUUGCUUUCAUACGGCGGGAGUCAUUGGUUCAAAUCCAAUAGUA